UAUAGCAUUGCCACCAAGAAACACCCAAUCUCCUAAGAGUCCGGAAGUUAAAUUAAGCAGGCUUGGGCAUGUUAGCACUUUGAUGGGAGAAAGACAUAGCCCAAACUAUGUUAUUU
ensembl:rRNA 5S_rRNA 5S ribosomal RNA